ACGCACGCUGGCGGCGUGCUUAACACCUGCAAGUCGAACGGAAAGGCCCUGCUUGCAGGGUACUCGAGUGGCGAACGGGUGAGUAACACGUGGGUGAUCUGCCCUGCACUUCGGGAUAAGCUUGGGAAACUGGGUCUAAUACCGGAUAGGAGCCAUCUUUAGUGUGGUGGUUGGAAAGUUUUUUCGGUGUAGGAUGAGCUCGCGGCCUAUCAGCUUGUUGGUGGGGUAAUGGCCUACCAAGGCGGCGACGGGUAGCCGGCCUGAGAGGGUGUACGGCCACAUUGGGACUGAGAUACGGCCCAGACUCCUACGGGAGGCAGCAGUGGGGAAUAUUGCACAAUGGGCGCAAGCCUGAUGCAGCGACGCCGCGUGGGGGAUGAAGGCCUUCGGGUUGUAAACUCCUUUCGCUAGGGACGAAGCUUUUUUGUGACGGUACCUAGAUAAGAAGCACCGGCUAACUACGUG
rnacentral:rRNA from 1 species